AUUGAACGCUGGCGGCAGGCUUAACACAUGCAAGUCGAGCGGGGUGAUGGUGCUUGCACUAUCACUUAGCGGCGGACGGGUGAGUAAUGCUUAGGAAUCUGCCUAUUAGUGGGGGACAACAUCUCGAAAGGGAUGCUAAUACCGCAUACGUCCUACGGGAGAAAGCAGGGGAUCACUUGUGACCUUGCGCUAAUAGAUGAGCCUACGUCGGAUUAGCCAGUUGGUGGGGUAAAGGCCUACCAAGGCGACGAUCUGUAGCGGGUCUGAGAGGAUGAUCCGCCACACUGGGACUGAGACACGGCCCAGACUCCUACGGGAGGCAGCAGUGGGGAAUAUUGGACAAUGGGGGGAACCCUGAUCCAGCCAUGCCGCGUGUGUGAAGAAGGCCUUAUGGUUGUAAAGCACUUUAAGCGAGGAGGAGGCUCUUUUGGUUAAUACCCAAGAUGAGUGGACGUUACUCGCAGAAUAAGCACCGGCUAACUCUGUGCCAGCAGCCGCAGUAA
rnacentral:rRNA from 1 species